GCCUGGCAUCUGCCUCCACUCACUGCCAGACUCUGGGGGCUCAGCUGGCCACAGUUGGGCAGCUCUACCUGGCCUGGCAGGGUGGCCUAGACCGCUGUGACCCCGGCUGGCUGGCCGACGGCAGCGUGCGUUAUCCCAUCAACCUGCCCCGGCGUCACUGCGGAGGGGAUGAGCCAGGAGUACGGACCGUUUACCACAACCCCAAUCGCACCGGAUUCCCAGACACUAGCGAUCUCUUUGAUGCCUACUGCUAUCAUGAGAAAAAUUUCGAAGAGCUGAUGGCGAUACUCCACAAGAUCCUAGAAAACUCCACUCUGAACUCUUCAAGCGAUGAAGAGGUGCAGCUCCAAAGAAAUGGAGCCUUCCCUGAACCUUCAACUUGGACCGGUCUGGUCAAUCUUGAGAAAGAAGACUUUGAGUCCAUCAUAAACAACGAAUCUUCAGAAAUCUCAGAGGAGCAUGUUGUAAUCCAUCUUGGACCUGAAGAAAAGUCUGUAGACUGGGAAGACGAUCCCAAAGAUGCUGUGGAGAAGCAGGAGAACCUUCAAGGGGGUUCGGCGAAAGAGGAGACCGAUGAUGGAUCUCCUGACCCAUCUUCAAUCACGCCAUCUUCCUCUACGCAAGCUCAGACCAGCAACAGCGUCAUUUCCAACUUUGUGAAAACAAUCAUGAAGCCAUUUAGGUACUGGACCGGGACUGGAGAACCUGAGAUACCGGCCACAGAGUCCAGCCUCUACCAAGGUACCUCAGAAAUGGUCCCACCUAUCAGGACGAAGCCAAGUAGCGGAAAAACAAGCAAAGGUGGUGCUGAUAACGCCAUCAUGGAGCCUAAUAUCAAGGAACAUUCAUAUAAUCCCUCCUCAUCAGAUCCAGAAGAAGAGCUCUUCGAACAGGAGAAAGAAGUUAUCUUGGUGGCUGCGCCGCAGGAGAUAAAGAGUCCAAGCAAUUCUCAUAUGGAUCAUCCAUAUUCACAGACCUUCACAGACAGCUUCACUGGACCAGCCAAAGGAGCGAUUGGAUCAGGAAUGGCAGAUCCGAC
rnacentral:lncRNA from 1 species